GGAGGGAACAUCGGCUGGCAUGGCGUCUUUUCAGUGGCCCUAAUAGAGACCUUCAAAGUGAAAAGAUUGAUUCCCAUGGUGAUUCACAGUGGACCCACUACACUUGAUGUAUGUACAGCUGGACGUGGAAUGUAAUGAUGCAGAGGCUGGACGAGAAGACAUUAUUAAAGGAGCGUGUGUUUACAUGGAUGAAGAUCCAGAAAACCUGGUCCAGGAAUAUGUGGUAUGUAUAUAUUUGCACGUGAAUCAAUAGCUUGAUUUUCUCUUUCUUUGUAGUUUAUUUAAGAUUUUUUUUUUCA